rnacentral:rRNA from 1 species
UACGUAGGGUGCAAGCGUUAGUCGGAAUUACUGGGCGUAAAGCGUGCGCAGGCGGUGAUGUAAGACAGGUGUGAAAUCCCCGGGCUUAACCUGGGAACUGCAUUUGUGACUGCAUCGCUGGAGUGCGGCAGAGGGGGAUGGAAUUCCGCGUGUAGCAGUGAAAUGCGUAGAUAUGCGGAGGAACACCGAUGGCGAAGGCAAUCCCCUGGACCUGUACUGACGCUCAUGCACGAAAGCGUGGGGAGCAAACAGG